rnacentral:tRNA from 1 species
CAGAAUAUAUCUUAUUUAAAAGUAAUUCACUUACACUGAUUAGAAGGUAUAAUAAAGCCUGUUCUGA